rnacentral:rRNA from 1 species
CACGUAGGGCGCAAGCGUUGUCCGGAAUUAUUGGGCGUAAAGAGCUCGUAGGCGGUUUGUCGCGUCUGCUGUGAAAACCCGAGGCUCAACCUCGGGCCUGCAGUGGGUACGGGCAGACUAGAGUGCGGUAGGGGAGAUUGGAAUUCCUGGUGUAGCGGUGGAAUGCGCAGAUAUCAGGAGGAACACCGGUGGCGAAGGCGGGUCUCUGGGCCGUAACUGACGCUGAGGAGCGAAAGCAUGGGGAGCGAACAGG